UUUAGUCUAUACUAUAAGCGAGAAGGGCUCCCAAGUUUGGUCAUGUUUUACUGUUCAAAAUGGUUCCAAAACGACUACUUUUUGUGCGUUUUGGCUUUUCUUUUCCUUGUUUUUUUACUAUUCAACAGUUGCCAUACUGGUGAGAUCCACAUUUUAUGCUUUUUUUUUUAUUUUGCCAUACAGGUGUCAGGGGUUGUGGUAUGGCAUGCAUUAUGGUUAUGAUGACUUACAGUAUGGUAAGGAUAGAGUUGAUGUACUUUAUACAAAAUUCUGGACUUCAUUAUUGUACUUCAGAAAAGACUUUGCCUUACCAUCUUUUCUCUCCCCCUACUCUCUUCAUCAGUGACGAUAAAGAACAUGAGGAUUGUGUUAUUCACUACAAAAUUGCAAAAUGGUUAGAGAAGUAAAGCUAAUCAAGGAUAUUCAAGCUCAACAAAGAGGUUGGACAGUAAAAGUGGUGAUUAUUGAGAAAGCAAUGCCACGAGUUUCUAAAUCAAGUCCAAACAAAUAUCAAAGGUUAAUCUUAGCUGAUGAAGAAGGUAAUAAGAUCCAGGCCACAAUAUAUGGUGGAGACAUCCACAUCUUCCGAGACACACUCAUAAUUGGGAAAAAUUAUUAUAUUUCUAAUGCUUGGGUUAAAGAAAUUGGUGCACAAUAUCAGAUUGUUCAAAAUAAUUUGCAAUGGACUAUAAAUGGUCGAACCAUUGUGGAAGAAGUGACUGGAGAUUCAGAGAUAAUUGUGCCUGCUGUUUACAACUUUGUCCCGUUCUCACGACUACACACUUAUAUUGACUCUCUAUCCCACGUCGGUAUGUUUGUCUAUAUAGUCAAUUUGUUCAGCUAUAUUUUUAUAACUUUUCAUUUGUGAAUCUUUCUUUUUUUUAGGAUUCUGUUAAAGAUAUUGAAAAAAUUGCCAUAUU